rnacentral:misc_RNA from 1 species
GACGGAGGGGGCUAGCGUUAUUCGGAAUUACUGGGCGUAAAGAGCGCGUAGGUGGUGUAAUAAGUUGGAAGUGAAAUCCCAGAGCUCAACUCUGGAACUGCUUUCAAAACUGUUACGCUAGAGUUUAGUAGAGGAUGAUGGAAUUCCUAGUGUAGAGGUGAAAUUCUUAGAUAUUAGGAGGAACACCGAUGGCGAAAGCAAUCAUCUGGGCUAAUACUGACACUAAUGCGCGAAAGCGUGGGGAGCAAACAGG